rnacentral:tRNA from 1 species
GCGAUCGUAGCUCAGUCGGUUAGAGCGCCGGAUUGUGGUUCCGGAGGCCGUGGGUUCGAGUCCCACCGGUCGCCCCG